UACGUAGGGUGCGAGCGUUAAUCGGAAUUACUGGGCGUAAAGGGCGCGUAGGCGGCCUUCUAAGUCAGACGUGAAAUCCCCCGGCUUAACCUGGGAACUGCGUCUGAUACUGGGAGGCUUGAGUAUGGGAGAGGGAUGUAGAAUUCCAGGUGUAGCGGUGAGAUGCGUAGAUAUCUGGAGGAAUACCGGUGGCGAAGGCGGCAUCCUGGACCAUAACUGACGCUGAGGCGCGAAAGCUAGGGGAGCAAACGGG
rnacentral:rRNA from 1 species